UACGUAGGGUGCAAGCGUUGUCCGGAAUUAUUGGGCGUAAAGAGCUCGUAGGCGGUCUGUCGCGUCGAGUGUGAAACCCCGAGGCUCAACCUCGGGUCUGCAUUCGAUACGGGCAGACUAGAGUUCGGUAGGGGAGUCUGGAAUUCCUGGUGUAGCGGUGAAAUGCGCAGAUAUCAGGAGGAACACCGGUGGCGAAGGCGGGACUCUGGGCCGAUACUGACGCUGAGGAGCGAAAGCGUGGGGAGCGAACAGG
rnacentral:rRNA from 1 species